rnacentral:rRNA from 1 species
UACCAGCACCCCGAGUGGUCGGGACGAUUAUUGGGCCUAAAGCAUCCGUAGCCGGUCAUGCAAGUCCUCCGUUAAAUCCACCUGCUUAACAGAUGGGCUGCGGAGGAUACUACAAGGCUAGGAGGCGGAAGAGGCAAGCGGUAUUCAGUGGGUAGGGGUAAAAUCCUCUGAUCCAUUGAAGACCACCAGUGGCGAAGGCGGCUUGCCAAUACGCGCUCGACGGUGAGGGGUGAAAGCUGGGGGAGCAAACCGG